rnacentral:rRNA from 1 species
UACGGAGGGCGCAAGCGUUAUCCGGAAUUACUGGGUUUAAAGGGUGCGUAGGCGGCUUGAUAAGUCAGAGGUGAAAGCCUAUCGCUUAACGAUAGAAUUGCCUUUGAUACUGUAAAGCUUGAAAGGGGUUGAGGUCAGCAGAAUGUGGCAUGUAGCGGUGAAAUGCAUAGAUAUGCCAUAGAACACCGAUUGCGAAGGCAGCUGGCUGGGCCUACUUUGACGAUGAGGCACGAAAGCGUGGGGAGCGAACAGG